AAUACAUGCAAGUAACCAAGGCAACGAUGCGUAGCCGACCUGAGAGGGUGAUCGGCCACACUGGGACUGAGACACGGCCCAGACUCCUACGGGAGGCAGCAGUAGGGAAUCUUCCGCAAUGGACGAAAGUCUGACGGAGCAACGCCGCGUGAGUGAUGAAGGUUUUCGGAUCGUAAAGCUCUGUUGUUAGGGAAGAACAAGUACCGUUCGAAUAGGGCGGUACCUUGACGGUACCUAACCAGAAAGCCACGGCUAACUACGUGCCAGCAGCCGCGGUAAUACGUAGGUGGCAAGCGUUGUCCGGAAUUAUUGGGCGUAAAGGGCUCGCAGGCGGUUUCUUAAGUCUGAUGUGAAAGCCCCCGGCUCGGGGAGGGUCAUUGGAAACUGGGGAACUUGAGUGCAGAAGAGGAGAGUGGAAUUCCACGUGUAGCGGUGAAAUGCGUAGAGAUGUGGAGGAACACCAGUGGCGAAGGCGACUCUCUGGUCUGUAACUGACGCUGAGGAGCGAAAGCGUGGGGAGCGAACAGGAUUAGAUACUGGUAGUCCACGCCGUAAACGAUGAGUGCUAAGUGUUAGGGUUUCCGCCCCUUAGUGCUGCAGCUAACGCAUUAAGCACUCCGCCUGGGGAGUACGGUCGCAAGACUGAAACUCAAAGGAAUUGACGGGGGCCCGCACAAGCGGUGGGCAUGUGGUUUAAUUCGAAGCAACGCGAAGAACCUUACCAGGUCUUGACAUCCUCUGACAAUCCUAGAGAUAGGACGUCCCCUUCGGGGGCAGAGUGACAGGUGGUGCAUGGUUGUCGUCAGCUCGUGUCGUGAGAUGUUGGGUUAAGUCCCGCAACGAGCGCAACCCUUGAUCUUAGUUGCCAGCAUUCAGUUGGGCACUCUAAGGUGACUGCCGGUGACAAACCGGAGGAAGGUGGGGAUGACGUCAAAUCAUCAUGCCCCUUAUGAACGGGGGCCCGCACAAGCGG
rnacentral:rRNA from 1 species